rnacentral:lncRNA from 1 species
UUUUUUUUUUUUUUUGUCUCUUUGCCAUUUCUUGGGCUGCUCCCUGCGACAUAUGGAGGUUCCCAGGAGCAAAAAAGAGAGAUCUCAGAUAAAUGAUCUAGCUUUACACUUCAAGGAGGUAGGAAAAAAAAAGACAAACUAAACCUAAAGCUAGCAGAAGAAAUAAUAAAGAUCAGAGCAGAAAUAAAUUAAAUAGAAAAUAGAAAACAAAGGAAAAAGUUGUCAAAACUGAAUAGGGUUUUUGAAAAAAAUAAAAUCAACAGACACUUAACUAGUUUAACUACUAGCGGACUAAUUAAACUAGCUAUUAAGAAGACUAAAAUAAAUAAAACUAAAAAUAAAAGAGGAGACAUUACAAAGAAUGCCUCAAAAAUAAAAAGAAUCAUAAGAAAGUAUUAAGAACAAUUAUAUGCCAACAAAUUGGAUAACCUGGAAGAAACAGAUAAAUAUUUAGAAACAUAAAACCUCCAAGACUUAAGAGAAAUAAAAGGUCUGAACAAAACAAUGACAAAUAUGGGCAAUGCAGUAGUAAUCAAAAACUUCUCAAUGAAGAAAAGCCCAGGACUGAAUGGCUUCAUAACUGAAUUCUACCAAACAUUCAAGGAAAGAAUUAAUACCAAUCCUUUUAAAACUCUUCCAAAGAGUAGAGUAUAGGGAAUAUUUCUGAACUCAUUUUAUGAGGCCAGCAUCACUCUGAUACCAAAUCCAGGCAAAAAUUCCACAAGAAAAGUAAACAAUAGGUCAAUAUUUCUGAUAAAACUAGAUGAAGAAAUCUCAACAAAAUACUAUCAAACUGAUUCAAUAGCAUGUCAAAAAGAUCAUACACAAUGACUAAGUGGAAUUUAUCCUUAGGAUGUAGGGUUGGUUUAAUGUAAGUAAAUCAGUCAAUGUUAUACACGACAUUAACAGAAUGAAAGAUAAAAGCCACGUGGUCAUCUCAAUAGCUGCAGAAAAAGCAUUUGACAAAAUUCAUCAUUUAUUCAUGAUAAAAAACUCUCAACAAAAUAGGUACAGAAGGAACUUACCUCAGCACGAGAUCUGAUCCCUGGUUACUUUUCUCUUCCCAUAUCCUACCACUCUUUUUUCUCUCUCCCUGUGUUUCAGCAACACCAGCCAACUUACUAUUUCCUAUAAACAUUCCCCAAGCAUGCUUCCAUCUCGGGCUUUCCCUCAGAUUGGACCAUUCCUCUACCAGCAUUCUUGUGGCUUCUUCCUUUGCUAUAUAUUACUAUUCAGGUCUCUGUUCCAAUGUUACCUCCACAUAUAAAAAAGUAGUUUUUACCACUUGCUAUUCACUUCUGACAUUUUAUUUCCUUCAUAGCACUUUUCAUUACCUGGCAUUUUAAAAAUCUUGUUAAAAAAUUGGUUUGCUUAAUUGUCUGUUUCACCCCACUGUCACUAUCCCAGAUAACUAGGAUGUUUGCUUAUUUUUCUGUAUUCCUUGAAUAGUGCCUGAAAUGGCAAUCUCUUCAUAAAUAUUUGUUAAUUAAUAAAUGAAUGAAUCAACAUUAAAGAUGUUCUACACUUCGAAUUAAAAUAGUCUUUCUGGUGCCUUGACAUUUUCAUUGCUUACCUUUUUUUUUUUUACAAAUUGGGGAAAAGAUUAGAUCCAAAUAAGGAGAAUCAAGCCUUUACCUAGAAGGAUAUUGGAACAAUAAACACUUGGUAGAAAAAUUUAAGUGUUCUGGCCAAGGCUACUAAAAUAUAAACAAGUCCUUUUUUGCAAAUAGAAUCUCCAUCUUCUAUGCUAUUAUUGUGUCUAUGGAGCAGGUGUUGGCUUAGCACAUAGAAUAAACUUGUAUGAAGAUAAAAAUCAAGAAAAGGAAUAAAAUAAAGUGGUAAAAGGGAGGAAAUAUAAGAGACUAGCAAUAAAAUAAACAUUUAGAGUGAUUGGGCAGUUGGAUUUCUUAAAUUGAUAAGUCUGUGUUCAAAUCCUGCCUGCUUUAGGUUGGUUGCAUAUUGCUUGAUCAUGGUAAUUAUGUACGCCUUUUUUAAUGAUAUGAAAGACAUUAAAAAUGAGAAAAAAUGAGAGCUUACAAACUGUUUUUUUAUUUUUUAAAUUAUAGUUGAUUCACAAUGUUGUGCCAAUUUCUGCUACACAGCAAAGUGACUCAGUUAUACAUAUAUACUUUUUUAUAUUCUUUUCCAUCAUGGUCUAUCCCAGGAAACUGGAUAUAAUAACCUGUGCUCAAAUUAAGUUUUAAUUGUUUAUGCACCACCAAAUAUAAAACAAUCACUACUGGACUUGCACUCACUGUUCCUUUUACCACAGUAUUGAGUUUCCAGAGAAGAAAAUAUCCCACAUCUUGCGACAGGAAAGCUGCAAAAUGGUUCACAGAUGCACAAAAGCAGAUCCUCUAAACCACUCUCUGACAUAAGUAGGUAGCUUCUCAGAUAUCAGAAUGGCACUCUAAUGUGAUAACAAGGAAUAUUACAGAAACAUCAUAUACCUUCCACUCUCAAUCACUGCCUUCCCUUUCUAUAAUUUCAAAGAGCAAGCAACAGAUUUUUAGGUUAUAAUUAAAUUUAAACUGUCAUGCUAUAGUCCCUGUUUUCCUAUCAGCUAUCCAUUAGUUGGUACAACCUGAUUUUGCUAAAGAUCAUUUGUAUCCAAAAUCCCCUUAUUUUAACUAAUUCAAGGAUGCUUCCUUUCAAGUGAGAAUAAAUGAAUUUUAGAGGUAUGGGAAAUCUUGUUACACACAUAGGACAUAGAGUUUUAAAAAAUUCAUUUAACUGAAUAAAGACCUUGGAUUUACAUUUAAUUAUCAUUCUACCUCAACUCCUUUUUUGGAACAAGAGUAGUUAAAAUAAAUAAAUAAUUUACCAGCAUCAAAUGAUUUUCUUUCACUAUAAAAUCAGCCUUCCACUUGGCACAAUUUUAAUCAUAAAUGAGUCCUUGAUAAUAUUGUGUGCAGGUAUUUCUCAGAAAAAUAGAAUUUCUAUUUUCCAAUUAAAAUUUUUGUGAAACAAAUUAUUACCUUAGUGACUCACAUCUUAAUGUGAGGGAGGUAUGUUGGUGCAUGUUAGGGAAGACCUUAGAAGAAACUUUCCCUAGAUUCUAGGAGAUGUGGACCAAUGAUUAAAACUGAUGGAGCAAGGAAGAGAAUGCCCAGGCAGCCUCUGAAGCGGGGCCAUGGCAGCCAAUAUCUUGGCACCAUAGUUUCAUUGAUUAUUUCUGCCCCAGUAAGAGAUGAGGAGGGAGGGUAAGUUUUAUGCUCAACUCUUGCAUGUAAAUGAGACAUGUUGGCAAGUAUCCUUAAGUACAUGGUUCAGGUUUAUGGACACACUGAGCCUUGAAUGUAUAUCACUAGGAGAUAAUCUUGGUUAUCCUUCUUUUUCCCAGGAGUGAUGACAGGGAAAGAAACAAAAAGAGGGGGCUGAGAAUCACCUUAUAAAUAAGGUAUUUAUUUAUUUCCAUAAAAAUAUUUCCCUGGAUUGGUCAGCUAUUAUUAUUAUAGUGCUGCAUAACAAAGACCACAAAAUCUCAGUGGCACUUGGGAAUAAUUGUUAUUCUCAUAGAUCAUUGAGUUAAACUAAUCUAAGCUGGCUCAGCUGGGUAACUCUGGCUCAGGCUGCAGUGGCUGGGGGAGCUCUGCUCCUAAUGCUUUUCCUCCUCCUUGGAUCUGCAGGCUGGCCAGUGUGUGUUCUUUUUGCAAUAUUAGAAGCUCAAGAGAGAAGCAGAAAUGUGGAAAGAUUUUUCAAACUUAAAUCUAACCUGGCACACUGUCACUCCUGCCUAUGUUCCACCAGCUAAGGCCUGUCCCAUGCCUAAAUUUAGAGUCAAGGGGAGUCCCCUUUGCACAUGACAAUGGGGAGCUUGCAGGAAGGGCUGAAGGAUGAGGGCCAAUCAUUUAAUCUACUACAUUUUUCUAUGUUUCAAAUUUGAAAACUCUGUUGCUACAGGCAUUUAUAUACUAUACUAAGAAACACUUGCCUAAUUGAAAUUGAAGGUUUUAGUAGAAAACCUAAACUAAUUUGCCUAUUUUAAAUGAGUUUUUUAGAAAAUUAUCUGAUGUAUAGAUACAUAUGCAUUUCUUCAUGUAUUUAUAUGCAUAUACAGUGACUUUUAAAUGUACUUUUCUUAGAAGUUAUCUUAGACUCUCAGAAUUAUAAUUGUUUUAGAUGAAUCAUAAAAUAUUAAAAUGAAUGAAAUAUUUCUAGUUGCGAUAGCAUUUUACAUACAGUAGAGGCUGGUACUAAAUGAUGUGUCAGCCAGUAGCUUGCCUAUUAAGAAAUAAUAGGACUCAAAAAGACUUAUUUAGCAUUAUGUCUGCUUUCAGUCAGAAAAACUUCAAUCACAGAGAUGACAGCCCAUGCUUGUAACAGGAUGGACAGACUUUGUAGAAUUCCUUCCUUAGCACUGAGGUAAAAAAGGCAUUGUUAGGUACUUAAGUGAUCUCAACAGUAUGCCUCUUCAAAACACACUAAAAAUGUGUGUUGGAUGAUUUAAGGAGAAAUUACAAUUCUUUUUAUUUUCCCCCUCAGAGUGUCCACUUUUAUUGCCAGAUUUUUGAGAUAAACAAAACCAGCUAAAAUUUCUAGCAGAUGCUCAAAUUUAAAGCUCUCCUCAGACACAAAAACAUUUAAUAAGUAUCUCAUGGGAGAUUUCUUGUGUAUAGCUAGAGAGGAAAUGAUUAAUUCAAUAAAAGUAAAAGUGAAGGAUAGGCUCAGAUGUUGAGGUCAUGGACAAAGCCACCUCUGAUCUAGAACAAUUAUAUUUUAUGUUGAAUCCCCAGGGAGAACUGUGAAAGUAUCAACAUAACCUCCUAAAUAAAUACUACUGAGAAAUAACUUAGAACACAUGAUCACCUCCACAAAAAAGUAAAAUAACAUAUAUAUAAAAAUAGAAACUUCCUUACUUUGGAAAUGUGUUUUAAAACAAAGAGAAAUAAGAUAAUCCACUCAACUCGUUAAAUAAUUGCUCAUUUUUAAUAAGAAUCUGUGAUUUGUUUGCCUCCUUAUUAAAAUUAACAGAGAUUUAAUACCCAACAUCAUGCAUCUUAGAAGAAUAACUUCUCUCAGUCUAUUUUCAUGUCUAAAGUAGAUAUCUACUAUGUUAUGUUCUUUGGGCUAUAUGGCUUGACAAAUGUCACUGAUAAUUUUUUUUUAAAUUGUGGCUGCAGAGAGCUAGCAAGAGUGUUAUUACCAGGGUUCUACGCUUAUUAGAUUUUGUUAAAUCAUAUAGGAGUAUAUAAAUACUUACUCAAUUUUUCCC